rnacentral:tRNA from 1 species
UCUAUUGUGGUCUAGUGGUUAAGUCAUGGGACUGUUGACCCCAUGAUAUUGGGUUCAAAUCCAUGCAAAGGCG